CACCUCUUAUCGGAAAUUGUUAAUGUGUUUGGCUGCUAACCAAAAGGCUGGAGGUUCAAGCCACCCACAGGUGC
rnacentral:tRNA from 1 species